rnacentral:rRNA from 1 species
GACGAACGCUGGCGGCGUGCUUAACACAUGCAAGUCGAACGGAAAGGCCCUGCUUUUGUGGGGUGCUCGAGUGGCGAACGGGUGAGUAACACGUGAGUAACCUGCCCUUGACUUUGGGAUAACGUCAGGAAACUGGGGCUAAUACCGGAUAGGAGCUCCUGCUGCAUGGUGGGGGUUGGAAAGUUUCGGCGGUUGGGGAUGGACUCGCGGCUUAUCAGCUUGUUGGUGGGGUAGUGGCUUACCAAGGCUUUGACGGGUAGCCGGCCUGAGAGGGUGACCGGCCACAUUGGGACUGAGAUACGGCCCAGACUCCUACGGGCGGCAGCAGUGGGGAAUAUUGCACAAUGGGCGGAAGCCUGAUGCAGCAACGCCGCGUGCGGGAUGACGGCCUUCGGGUUGUAAACCGCUUUCGCCUGUGACGAAGCGUGAGUGACGGUAAUGGGUAAAGAAGCACCGGCUAACUACGUG